rnacentral:lncRNA from 7 species
ACUGGAGAGAUCAGCACAAGCAGGAUGGCCAGAAGAAAAGCAAGCUCAGCGAUAUGCUGGUGAAUAACUGCUCGCUAGUGGGAUGCAUUACCCUGCAGGAUAAAGAAAAGCAUCACCAACGGGAUGGCUGGAUGUGGUCUGGAUGCUCCCAUGGUUUGGGUGCAGUUGUACAGACAGUGCUUUUUCUGUGGUGGGAGCCCUGACAAAGCCAGCACCCUUCUCCAUCUGCUGCUGCAGCUCUCCUCGCAGUGACCACGACUACAGAAAGCACCUGCGCCAGCUAGCUGAAAAGAAGGGUGCCAGUUCUCUGCAUGCGAGCUUUUGCUAAUGCCAGGAGUAUGAGCAAAGUCAAAAGCAGUGCCUUCCUCUGGCUGUGACCAGCUCUUCCUGAGAACCUCUCAUAGGUCAUCAUCCCAUCCACAGCAUAUGCUGAGGAAGAAUAUGCAGGAAGCAACUGCCCAAAGAGCAGAGUGAGCAACUGACGCCAUAAAACGCAGCCAACAACCUCAGUGUACAGAGCUGUGACACACCUGAGCUGCAGCCCCACAUCUGUCCUCCAUCUCUGGUACACUGUGUUUGAAAGGAUCUUGCUUUUAAAGGGAAAAUAGCACAUCUCUGUAUUCUUCUCCAUUGUACUGGGAGAAGUGGGGAUUUCGGAGCAGGGCGUGAGGAGCGGUUUGACAUGCAGCAGUGAUGGAUGUCGAGAAGAGCUGACUGGUGUCCCUUGACGCCUUCUUUCUGCUUAGAGAGGAAUAAUGGCCACCCAGGACAGCUUCUCAGAGCCAAGCUUUACGCCCAGCAAAUCCCCUACUGAUGCAACUGCUGGGUUGCUGGGAACUUUCAGAACAGGACACAGGGCUGCCAAGAGGAUGGCACUGCAGGGCUGUUUGUUGGGAAGGUGGAGAUGCCAGGCACGGCUCCAGGUAACAGAGCAGCCCCGUGGCUUUAGAGCAGCACCUACUGCAAGAGAACUCCUGUGCAGUAUCUGUCACUGUGCUGUUGCUGCUGGGCCCCACGUGUGUGUGGCUUCUGUGACAGGAGCAGCAUCACAGAAUUACAUUACCAAUUCAUUUGCAAAUGCUGGUGGAGAUGUACUCAACAGUCCAAAUGAAAAAGAAAAAAAAGAAAGAAGGAGAGAUGGGUUUCAUCUUCCCACGUGCCUUGUGGCUGGUCCAUCCAGCCCAUUCUGCAUCUGUCAGAAUCAGUGCCCUGGGAGCAGUCAUCAUUUUUAUUAACCAUUAAACAAGAAGUUUCUUUUUAUUUGAAAAUGUAAACCAUGCAUAGAGUACUAUCAAUGGCCUCUAACCCAGCUCACAUUAACCUACGCCUCUGGGAGCUCCCCAAAACCUGACCACAAGCAGGGCUGGGUGCGCCCCGAGGACUUACACCUUGUCUAUGAGUGCCCGAUGUGAAGUCAUCCCCGGGUGCCUUACGGGGCCCUGAGCAAGCCUGAGGGUGGGAGGCUGCCGUGGGGCUGGCAUACAGAACAGACUCUCUGCAUGCUAUUUUUUAGAAUUUAUUUUUAUUGUGCUGCCUUAGUUGCUUCUGUGUGAUACUGCGGAAUAUUUUACUGCUUUGUGGCUCUCAUUCAGAAAGGAAAAAUUAAAAAAAGGAAAAGUU